CUUUACUCAGAUGAAAUCACCGAC
rnacentral:siRNA from 1 species